rnacentral:rRNA from 1 species
UUACAAUGAAGAGUUUGAUCCUGGCUCAGGAUGAACGCU